rnacentral:lncRNA from 1 species
CUCCAGCAGAGGCCAAGUUUCCGAGAGUCGGGCCUGAGAGGGGGUUGCUGAUGGUGGAUCUUGAGCCUCUCACCUGGCCAGCGCCCGCCCUUUGGCCAGCACCCAGGGAGGAGGUGCUAUGGGCUCCCCGGCUCUGCCCACUGUCCUUCCCCUCGCUCCUGGUUUGCCUACCACCGCCCAUGCCUGCGUUUCCCACUACCAGCCUUUAGCUUGGUCGCUGCUUCUGACCCACCCUCACUCUGGGCGUUGAACUUGUUUUCUCUGGGUUUGCUGCCCCAUAUACUUCUCUGGGCCCCGGGCGUUCUUGGCCUUACCAAACCUCAGCUGCUGGGGCUCCACCCUGAUCCUAGCUAACCUGCCCUCCACCCCUACCCCUCAGUGUCUCCUCGCCCUCUGCUCUCUCCAGGAGGCACUGAGCUAAUCAGGCUGAUUAUCGCUCAGGUCCAAUUCCACUUUCCCUGGUUGCAACACGCGGUAAAUUUCCUUAGCCGCCUGGCUCCCCUGUGAGCCCUGCCUCUUGUCACGCAGCCCGACUUAAGAAGCCGCCAGCUCCCCCGCCUGCUGUAUCAUCGUAGAUGAAUCAGGCCUGCCCGACCUGGGGGUGUAAUCUAAACGCCAUCUAUGGGGUCAUGUUUCCCUCAGCAGCAAAACACAGUUGUCACAUCUUUCCAGGUCUGGUAAAACCUCUGGCGUUCUAAAUGCUGAGGCCCUUACAGUUUUCAAAAAGACCACGCUCUAAUCUGCCUGCGAGAGAGGUGAAUUUUAGAGGAUGCUUUGGAAAAUUAUUUCUCUUGUCCUACACGUUUUGAGGGUGGGCUAGUGGCCUGAGGCUUAGUUUCUCAUCAGGGAACAGUCUUUGAACUUCCAGCCUCAUUUCAUACUUGCCCCAUCCCCAGGAUCUCUGAGUGGCUGAAAGUGAUGAGAAAAGACAUAGAGAGGGAGAUCAGGAUGCUGUGUUUAUUCCCAAACCGAGGGCCCCCCGGGAUGGAGAAAGAAACUCUGCUGACUACUCCUUCUGUCUCGAUCCCUUCCAGAAAGGGUGAGGCUUGGCUGUGGGAGGAAAGAAGAGAAGAGAAGAGGAAACCAGAAUAUUCGUAUGAGUGCCCACAGUGUGCACAGCCCGGGCUAGAUUCUAUGACCCCAGAACAUGGGGCUUUCCAUAGGAUGGGAGAUAAGCAGCAGGGCCGUCGGGAGGAAGAAUCUCCCUGGAAUGAGCGGGAGGACCUCGCCUGA